ACAGAGGGGGCAAGCGUUGUUCGGAAUUACUGGGCGUAAAGGGCGCGUAGGUGGCCUUCUAAGUCGAACGUGAAAUCCCUGGGCUCAACCCAGGAACUGCGUCCGAGACUGGGAGGCUUGAAUCCGGGAGAGGGAUGCGGAAUUCCAGGUGUAGCGGUGAAAUGCGUAGAUAUCUGGAGGAACACCGGUGGCGAAGGCGGCAUCCUGGACCGGUAUUGACACUGAGGCGCGAAAGCCAGGGGAGCAAACGGGAUUAGAUACCCCGGUAGUCCUGGCCCUAAACGAUGAAUGCUUGGUGUGGCGGGUAUCGAUCCCUGCCGUGCCGAAGCUAACGCAUUAAGCAUUCCGCCUGGGGAGUACGGUCGCAAGGCUG
rnacentral:rRNA from 1 species